rnacentral:rRNA from 1 species
UACGUAGGGUGCAAGCGUUGUCCGGAAUUAUUGGGCGUAAAGAGCUCGUAGGCGGUUUGUCGCGUCGGCUGUGAAAACUCGGGGCUCAACCCCGAGCCUGCAGUCGAUACGGGCAGACUAGAGUGCUGUAGGGGAGACUGGAAUUCCUGGUGUAGCGGUGAAAUGCGCAGAUAUCAGGAGGAACACCGGUGGCGAAGGCGGGUCUCUGGGCAGUAACUGACGCUGAGGAGCGAAAGCGUGGGGAGCGAACAGG